rnacentral:tRNA from 1 species
GGGGAAUUGGUGAAAUUGGUAUACACGGUGGUUUUAGGUACCACUGCUUAAUGCGUAAGAGUUCGAGUCUCUUAUUCCCCACCA